UGCUCCUCAGCUGAAGCUGCUGCCUCCCAACAUGAAAACCCAACCAGAACCUCCAAGCUGCCAUCAGAGAGAGUCGUCCUGCUGGUUCUGGGCUCUCUGCUGGCUGCUGCUCUCAUCAUCAUCUACAGACUCUCUUUUGAUAAGAUCCAAACCAAUCAAAUGGUCCAAAAGUUGAACGAUGAGAAUGAAGCUUUGAGGAAAAACUUCUCAGAAAUGGAACUUACAUGUCUUCAAACAUCUACAUUUCCUUCACCCCCGAAAG